GACGAACGCUGGCGGCGUGCCUAAUACAUGCAAGUCGAACGAAGCUGUUUUAACUGGUGCUUGCACCGACUUAAACAACUGAGUGGCGAACGGGUGAGUAACACGUGGGUAACCUGCCCCAAAGCGGGGGAUAACAUUUGGAAACAGAUGCUAAUACCGCAUAACCACAGAAACCACAUGGUUUCUGUGUCAAAGAUGGUUUCGGCUAUCACUUUGGGAUGGACCCGCGGCGUAUUAGCUAGUUGGUAAGGUAAUGGCUUACCAAGGCAAUGCUACGUAGCCGAACUGAGAGGUUGAUCGGCCACAUUGGGACUGAGACACGGCCCAAACUCCUACGGGAGGCAGCAGUAGGGAAUCUUCCACAAUGGACGAAAGUCUGAUGGAGCAACGCCGCGUGAGUGAAGAAGGUUUUCGGAUCGUAAAACUCUGUUGUCAGAGAAGAACGUGUGCGAGAGUAACUGCUCGUGCAGUGACGGUAUCUGGCCAGAAAGCCACGGCUAACUACGUGCCAGCCGCCGCGGUAAAAC
rnacentral:rRNA from 1 species